CGCAAGAAGCUGCCUGAGGCCGUUCAGUUCCUGAGCGUUGACCCUGUGUCACAGUAGUUAAAAGCUUCCUGGAAGCACAUUUGACACAUUUAUUUACUCAAUGUCACUUCUGUGCCCCAGCAGAUCCUCUAAUUUGGUCAAGCUUCCCACCACCUACAUGUCCUCCCUAUAAUGGUUGGUUUCAAAGCAGGGCCCCGCCUCUCCCAAUGGCACAAUCUACCUUUCCACAUGGAUCUCCAACCACUCCAAAACCACCAGAGCCUCUCCCAAGAGUUUAUAAGAAUCUGCAAACCAAGAUUCUCUGAAUGCUGGCCAGGAAACUGUAAAUGUAGCAAACAAGGAUGCUGAGAAGCAAGAUCUCCAAAGCUUAAUGACAGAGGAAUAUGCGCCCAUUUUUCACACUUUAUUACAACUUGAAAGCAGCAUCUGGAAGGCAUUAUGAAUCAUCACUCCUCCACGUGGGUGGCAUUUCCGAGAGCCAAAUUACCCUCAUCCUUUUGCCACCCCAUGGUUUUGCCUGUAAAAGUUUUGUUUAAAUUAGAGAAAAUGUGAUGAACUUUUCCCUUCUAAAUGUGAAUGCACCAUGGCCUCCAGCUUUGAAGUUCAAGAUUGGAGGGGAGAAAACAGCCACAAAUAAAAGCCCCUCAAGAGGACCGCACAAAAGCAACCAGAGAGCCGCAAAUGGCCCCGCGAGCCGCACUUUAAGAGAUAAGUGCGAACUUAACAAGAGGGGGAAAGCUGGAUGUCGUGCAGUCGUGUUGUGAUUAAACGGGCCAUUGUGUGGCCUUGGGUUGGUUACAAUUUGAUUCUGCUUUUAUCUCGCCAGAUGUCGUGAUGUGGAAGCGCGUCCACGCACGCAGGCGUGCACGUGCCAAGAAACACACCGGUUUACUUUUAGUAUAUCAAGGAGUAAUCUGCCACGAGGGAAAAGAGGGGACGAAGCGGAUGUCUUCAAAAUAAAACCACCAAAAAGGGAAAUAAAAGCUAUCGCUGGGAGACAUGUGUUUGUACUUGUUAGCUUCAAUCUUUUAUUUGAACUAAAUGAUUGAAAUCACUCGAUUGUAAUUUUAUUGUUUUUCCCUUUUUAUAUCUAAAAUAAAAG